GCCGGGCGCGGUGGCUCACGCCUGUAAUCCCAGCACUUUGGGAGGCUGAGGCGGGUGGAUCACCUGAGGCCAGGAGUUCGAGACCAGCCUGGCCAACAUGGUGAAACCCCAUCUCUA
rnacentral:sRNA from 1 species